rnacentral:rRNA from 1 species
CAGCUUGUUGGCGGGGUAAUGGCCCACCAAGGCGACGAUCCGUAGCUGGUCUGAGAGGACGAUCAGCCACACUGGGACUGAGACACGGCCCAGACUCCUACGGGAGGCAGCAGUGGGGAAUCUUGCGCAAAUGCGGGAAACCGUGACGCAGCGACGCCGCGUGGGGGAAGAAGGCCUUCGGGUUGUAAACCUCUUUCAGGAGGGACGAAGCUACUCGGGUGAAUAGCCCAGAGGGUGACGGUACCUUCAGAAGAAGCCCCGGCUAACUACGUGCCAGCAGCCGCGGUAAUACGUAGGGGGCAAGCGUUGUCCGGAUUUAUUGGGCGUAAAGAGCGUGUAGGCGGCUUGGUAGGUCUGCUGUGAAAACUCGAGGCUCAACCUCGAGCUGUCGGCGGAAACCACUUGGCUAGAGUCCGGAAGAGGAGAGUGGAAUUCCUGGUGUAGCGGUGAAAUGCGCAGAUAUCAGGAAGAACACCUAUGGCGAAGGCAGCUCUCUGGGACGGUACUGACGCUG